UACGGAGGGUGCGAGCGUUAAUCGGAAUUACUGGGCGUAAAGCGCACGUAGGCGGUUUUGUAAGUCGGAUGUGAAAGCCCCGGGCUUAACCUGGGAAUUGCAUCUGAUACUGCUUAACUAGAGUAUGCUAGAGGGAAGUGGAAUUCCGGGUGUAGCGGUGAAAUGCGUAGAUAUCCGGAGGAACACCAAUGGCGAAGGCAACUUCCUGGGGCAAUACUGACGCUGAGGCGCGAAAGCGUGGGGAGCAAACAGG
rnacentral:rRNA from 1 species